ensembl:lncRNA
GCACUCACAAGUUCCCUAUUUAAGAAGCAACAUUUCACCUUUUUGCUUUUUCUAAGGAGGGUUUGUUUCUUUCUCAUUCUUCUUCUUUCAGUGUCAUUCUCCUGCUUGAUUUAACACUGAUUCUUACAUAUUGUGCAUCAAUGACUGUCCUUUGCAAUCAGAUGUUUGGGCCCCUUUGUGCAAAGCAUAUGAUUGAUAGACGGGGAAUGUUAAGAAGGAAGAAGAAUGGCAUAAGGCCCUCCUCCACUCCUAGGUGAUGGGCAAGCAGUCAUGUGCUGGAGCAUACAGGAAUCACUACUGCCAUACAGGUGGAUGAACACCUGAGAUUUUCUAUGCCGACUUCAGAGAUCAUCCUAAGCCAUACCAGGAAAUGAAGCUGUUUCCCCUCCCAGCUGUACGCGCCUCACGGCAACAAGUUGCAAAUUCUAACAUCAAAAUAAACCAUAAAUCUCCAUAGGUUAAAAAACAUCAUUAAACUUUUGCCAUAGAGUUAACCCACCCAUUACUCUGGGUUUUGUUGACUUCAUGUUAGAUAAGGGUGGAAUAAAAGCGACUUUAGAGUAUGUGGAAAUCUCUGUUUUGUUAUUAAAAGGGGCAAGAGGAAAGAAGGCCCCAGUGCUGCAGGAAAGCCCAGCUACAUGGGAGUCACUGAUAGAAAUGUGCUGGGAGAAGAGCAUCUUUAAAACAGCAUCCCUAAUUCUGGCCUGAAGCACCUCAUUUUUGGCUGAAUCCAGCCACCAGGAAACUGAUCCUAAAGCUGUGCUUUCUCCUUCUAGCUCAUUUGAAAAAAAUACUUCUUGCUUCAGUGAGGAAGCAGUCUGAGCAGUCUUCCCAGCACAGAUAUUUUUUUAAAGAAUCUUCAUAUUGUGUGAGGGCUUCUGUUGGUGGUUGAUGCUGAAACGAAAGAUGUGGCAAAUAAAAAUACUGUAAUGGUUGGAGUCAUAUCCGGAAGCAGCUCUGAAUGCCCUUUUACAUAGGUGGUCACAAAUUGUCAUGUCACACCAAUGAAGAUAUGUGGAAGGAAUUGCCUAGAUCAGACUUUGUGUUGUGUUCCUUUCCACAUUCCCAUAUAUUUUUUAACAGGCAGGGAAGAUCUUCAUGCCUUCUAUAUUUUGUCAUAAAGACAGCAAACUCCAUUCCGCCUGUUUUCAGGCUCGGUUGCUUGAGAUGACAUGAAUGGUCGGCCAUGGGAUGUAAUUCAAUUUAUUCUGUG